GUCCUUUUCGGGGACAGCGCUUAAAUGGGAACCGGGUGAAAAUCCCGGACAGUCCCGCUGCUGUGAGUUUCACAGAAAGCUGCCGUCGAUUGCCACUCGCUCUGCUGCGCGGGGAAGGCGACGGAUGAGCCGAAACAAGUCAGAAGACCUGCCGUUUACU
rnacentral:ncRNA from 1 species